rnacentral:rRNA from 1 species
UACGGAGGGUGCAAGCGUUAGUCGGAAUUACUGGGCGUAAAGCGUGCGUAGGCGGUUCGUUAAGUCUGUUGUGAAAGCCCCGGCUCAACCUGGGAAUGGCAAUGGAUACUGGCGAGCUAGAGUGUGUCAGAGGAUGGUGGAAUUCCCGGUGUAGCGGUGAAAUGCGUAGAGAUCGGGAGGAACAUCAGUGGCGAAGGCGGCCAUCUGGGACAACACUGACGCUGAGGCACGAAAGCGUGGGGAGCAAACAGG